rnacentral:lncRNA from 1 species
GUUCUUCAUUUUUUUAUCACCAAAACUAGAAAAGAAAAUUAGGUUUGAAGCUUUGAAAUAUUCGGCCAUUGAAGACUUUGAUUAAGGUAUGUUUCUGUUUCGAUUUUUGAUAAUUUUUACGUUUUUGAGAUCGUUGUUUUAAAUACUUCAAAACCCAUGUCUUAAUUUUGUGAAUUGUUGAUGAUUUUGAAAUGUGUCAUUUAUGAAUGUUUGAGUUUCAUGAUGUUAGUUGAUGAAAUAUGAAAUAUAAGUGUUAGAUAAACAUGUUUUGUCUUUAAAUUUUUGGUGAAUUUGAGUAAUUAGGGCUAAAUUGAGAAAAAUAAUUUUUUGAGGGACUAAAAUGCGAAAUAAAUGACAUGCAUAGACUUAUAUGAGCUUAGUGCAUAUUCGGCCAAGCUAUUGUGCAAUGAAAAUUUAAUUAUUUUGUAUUUUGUGAAAUAAGGACUAAAUUGUGAAAAAUGUGAAAUGUCAGGGGAAAAAAUGUAAUUUUCCAAUUUAUGUGUUCUUAGACUAAAUUAAAUGAAUAUAUGUUUAAAUAAUAUUUAUUUGAAUGUGUUUAGAUCAAGAAACCAAGAAAUCGGAUUUAGAUCGGGGGAAAUCGAAAGUAGUUGAGUAACCGAGCUAUUAGUCGACGACAUCCGAGGUAAGUUAUUAAGCAUAUAUUUUGAAUCUUUUUAAAUCAUCUUAGUAUCUAUGUAAUUAUGCUGAAUUGAAUGGUAUAUAUAUACAUGUAGUGAAAAAAAAAUUAUUGAAAUAAGAUGUAUUGAAUUGUUGACUUUCGGCACUAAGUGUGCGGGUAUAAAAAAAUUAUGAUAAUGAGAUUAGCACUAAGUGUGCGAGUUUAAUUGUAAAGCACUAAGUGUGCGAGAUUGAUUAUUAAGCACUAAGUGUGCGAGCUUAUUAAAUAUUUUCGAAUAACUAUUAGUAUUGAGUGUUGGACUUAUUGAGUAAUCAUGAUUAGUAUAAUGAGUAAAUAAUUGGAGUUCUUGAGUAAUAACCGUUGUGGUUGUAUCCAAGGUUGAGCUUUGUAAGUAUUAAACCUAUGUGGUGAUUAUAUUUGGAAUCAAAUAUAUAAGAUGAUUCUUUAUAUCACAUGAUGAUGAAAUGCUUGUAUUUAAAUUUGAAGAAAUGUUUAUGGUUGAGUAAUUAUAUUGAUUUUAGUUAAAUCAUAGUAAUAAGUUAAUAACUAUCUUAAGAUACGGUAAGUUAAAGGUAAGAUGAUUUAGUAGUAUGAAUUGGUUAAAUAUUAUUCGAGAUAUCAAGUUAAAUUGUAAAGUUUAUUACUUGUAACUUACUAAGCUAAAUUAGCUUACAAUGUGUUGGAUAAUUGUUUUUAUGUAUAGAUUUUGGUGAUCGCUACGUGUUCGUGGAUCGUUUGUGAAGCUUGUCACAGUAUCGUCUAUAUUUUGGUACUUUACUAAGUUGUUUUCGAAUAAAUGGCAUGUAUAGCGUAGUGGAAAUGUUGAUUUUGGAACCAAUGUAUAUAGGUGUAAUUAAU